GAAUUUUUGACAAUGGGCGAAAGCCUUAUCCAGCAAUGCCGCGUUCAGGAUGAAGGCUUUCGGGUUGUAAACUGUUUCUGUACGGAACGAAAAGCUUUUGGUUAUUACCCUGGGUACAUGACGGUACCGUAACAAUAAGCACCGACUAAUUACGUGCCCGCAACCGCGGUAAUACGUAGGGUGCAAGCGUCAAUCGGAAUGACUGGGCGGAAAGCGUGCGCAGGGGGUUUUGUAAGACAGAGGUGAAAUCCCCGGGCUCAACCUGGGAACUGCCUUUGUGACUGCAAGGCUAGAGUACGGCAGAGGGGGGUGGAAUUCCGCGUGUAGCAGUGAAAUGCGUAGAUAUGCGGAGGAACACCGAUGGCGAAGGCAACCCCCUGGGCCUGUACUGACGCUCAUGCACGAAAGCGUGGGGAGCAAACA
rnacentral:rRNA from 1 species